GACGAACCGUGCGAACGUUGUUCGGAAUCAUUGGGCUUAAAGGGUGCGUAGGCUGGUUCUCAAGUCCGUGGUGAAAUCCUCCGGCUCAACCGGAGAACUGCCGUGGAUACUGGGGAUCUCGAGGGGUGUAGGGGCAUGUGGAACUCAGGGUGGAGCGGUGAAAUGCGUAGAUAUCCUGAGGAACGCCGGUGGCGAAAGCGACGUGCUGGACACCUUCUGACGCUGAGGCACGAAAGCCAGGGGAGCAAACGGG
rnacentral:rRNA from 1 species